UACAGAGGAGCCAAGCGUUGUCCGGAUUGACUGGGCGUAAAGCGUCCGCAGCCGGGAGUUUAAGUGAGAUGUUAAAUCGUGUGGCUCAACCAUAUCGAUGCAUCUCAUACUGGACACCUAGAGGAAAUCAGAGGCAAAUGGAAUUAGCAGUGUAGCAGUGAAAUGCGUAGAUAUUGCUAGGAACACCAAUGGCGAAGGCAGUUUGCUGGGAUUUUUCUGACGGUCAGGGACGAAAGCGUGGGGAGCGAACAGG
rnacentral:rRNA from 1 species